UGGAGUGAUUUGUCUGGUUAAUUCCGUUAACGAACGAGACCUCGACCUGCUAAAUAGUUUAGCUAACUCUUCUGGGUUGGUACAUGAACUUCUUAGAGGGACUAUCGGUGUGUAGCCGAUGGAAGUUCGAGGCAAUAACA
rnacentral:rRNA from 1 species